rnacentral:piRNA from 1 species
UGCUGGACGAUGGAAAUUUUG